UGUGUGUGUGUGUCGGCUGGUAGUGUUACAGCCAAAUAGUUUGAGUAGACACUCUUUUGCUUCCUGCCCGCCCGCCUGCCUCGCUCGCUUUUGCUCUGCGGCUAAGAAACAGACGCUGAGAGAAAAUCCCUGUCUCGGCAUGGACCUCUGGCUGCAGCGCUCAGCAGCUCGUGAGGAAUGACAACAGCUCACAUGGUCGUUAACUCCACUCGCCGGGGCAGAAGGGAGAACCGCACUGGAGCCGACUGCUGCCUCCCCUGUUUGGGACUAAGACAGAAGCACACAGCUGAGCUCCAGGAACGGAUAAAUUGAGAUCAGAGACAGAAAGUGCCUUUUGAGACGACAUCCCUACUUGAAGAUUUUGUCCGAGGAGAUCCAGAUAUUUCUCUGCAGCCUCUGUUUGGUCGUCGCUUAGCUUCAAGUCCUGUUUCGUCCCCCGUCAGCUUUCUAGGUGUGAAUAAACCCAAGCGAAAGCUGACGCCUUCUCUAAACCGCUGGCCAGAUUGCUGAAGCAUAAAGGCGCUUCGAAUCAAAGAGCUGCAAACUUUGUGUUGUCCUAAAAUGUGCCAUUGUAUCUUAAAAUAGGGCCACCUUUUACUCCUCAACACCCAC